CUACACACGUGUUACAAUGGUCGGGUACAGAGGGCAGCUACCUGGUGACAGGAUGCUAAUCUCAAAAAGCCGAUCGUAGUCCGGAUUGGAGUCUGCAACUCGACUCCAUGAAGUCGGAAUCGCUAGUAAUCGCGGAUCAGAAUGCCGCGGUGAAUACGGUUCCCGGGCCUU
rnacentral:rRNA from 1 species